CUUGAGUGAAGCCACGCCCUCUCAUCAGUGAAGAACAGGAAUAUUCCGGUUUUUCCAGGUUGCCUGAAAAAAUGUAGUCACGUAGUUUUCUUAGACGGUGAACAAGCUGUAUUACAAAGAGCAAAAAGUUUUUUCUUUUGGAGAUACACCGAAAUAUUAAAGAAAUAUUCAGAGAGCGAGACAACAUUGGUUGUGAUGGCUGAACGUUUUUUCCUGCUACUAGUCACCCAUGAGGCACGGAGCAGCCGCGUGAGCACAUUUUGACCAGAGGUCAGGUCCUUUUAGCGGGAACCUAAACUUCCUGGAGCUGCAUUCGAAUAUCGUUGGAUGUCGAUGCUGGAACUGGCGUGGACAGGAAGUUGGGGGAGGUACUCAAUGGUAGGGCUUCACUGCACUUACUCAGUACUUCCUCUACAGCUCUCUGUGUAGAAAAAUAGAGUUUUCAGUUACCAUGGCAUUCACAAGGUCCAAGGAGGACGACACUAAUUCAGUAUACCCCAGCUUUAUCCAUGCAAAACACCAAGACAAGCUUAAGCUACAGAAUGGUAACAGAGAUGGGACAGGACAAGGAUUCACUAUUGUGAAUAGCACAUCUUUACCUCAACCGCUUUGACCAACUCGACCAGGUCAAUUUGGCGUGACUCCACAGGCUGGGGGAUCUCAAGACUGCUCUGCUUUGCAUCCUCCAGUAAAGGCUCAACUGCGAGAAAGCAUGGAUUUGCCAGGUCAAGCGUCUGAGCCUGAGGAACUGAGAGAUGAUCUACUAGUGUGAUUUAUGCUGAUGGAAUUUACCUCUGGAUCGCUUCUUUUGUAGCAGGUGCAUGAACCAGUUGAAAAUCUUCACAAAUCGAUUUACUGCUUAAAGCGCCGCAGCUUAAUCACAGCUACUAGCUGGCAGUGUCUUUGGAGUGAAGCCCUAGGGUGUUGGUUUAACAUGCAUCAGUUAAGCAAACCAAUCCCAUCCAUCCAUCCAUCUUAUGUUACUGUAAUUUUAUAGGAAGGGUAAAUACCAGUGACCUCAGCAGACCAGCUAAUCAUCCACAUCCCACCAGUUUGCAAGUGGACCAACCUUUGUGAAGAACUUGUGGCCACGGAUAUUCUGCGGUGACGGGCGAUCCCGUGGGUCGAUUUGAAAUAUUUUGCCCAUCAGUUUCCCAGCUUCAAUACCGAGGUUCUGGUGUAGAAUAAAUUUAGCUUCUUUGAUGUUCUUUAUCAUUUCACAGCGAUCGUCGUGAUCGAAUGGGAUUUCCCCAACCAGAAGCUGGUACCUGUAGUAAGAAAGGCAGCAAAGGUGUUUGAGGUCUUUCACAUUUGACAUAAAAAUGCUGUGCUUCCAAAAGAGCAAUUCCUCUCAACUGUGUGCCAGUAUUCAUUUUUCUUUUCUAUUUCAAGUAGAAAAAAAAAAAACAUAUUUAUGCAUGUUAGACGCUUGUCUUCUUAAAAUGUUAGACAGAUUUUAUUAGCCAUGCUGAUCUUUGGCCGGGAGGAGGGUUGAUAGGGUAUACGUACAUGACACAGCCCAGUGCCCAGACUUCUGCUUCCGUUCCAUGUCCCUCUCGUUUCCACACUUCUGGAGCCAUGUAACAUGGAGUACCACACACUUCUCUACAACACACACAAAUGGAAAACGUUAAGCGCACAUGUGCUUUAGCUUGCUGUAUAAACAAAUUUGAAAGCUUAGCCAGGAAUUCUGCAAAAAACACCUACUUGUCCCUCGGCUCCAGCUUGAUCGCCAGUCCGAAAUCCCCAAUUUUCAGUUUCAUUUGGUCACUGACAAAUAAGUUUUCUGAAAGACAAACAAAUUUGCAUUAAGGAUAGACUCAAAUACACACGUGGACAAAAUUGUUGGUACCCUUCAGUCAAUGAA